rnacentral:rRNA from 3 species
UACGUAUGGUGCAAGCGUUAUCCGGAUUUACUGGGUGUAAAGGGAGCGUAGACGGAGUGGCAAGUCUGAUGUGAAAACCCGGGGCUCAACCCCGGGACUGCAUUGGAAACUGUCAAUCUAGAGUACCGGAGAGGUAAGCGGAAUUCCUAGUGUAGCGGUGAAAUGCGUAGAUAUUAGGAGGAACACCAGUGGCGAAGGCGGCUUACUGGACGGUAACUGACGUUGAGGCUCGAAAGCGUGGGGAGCAAACAGG